rnacentral:rRNA from 1 species
GACAGAGGGUGCAAACGUUGUUCGGAAUUACUGGGCGUAAAGCGUGUGUAGGCGGCCACGUAAGUCGGAUGUGAAAGCCCCGGGCUCAACCCGGGAAGUGCACUCGAUACUGCGUGGCUUGAGUACUGGAGAGGUUGGUGGAAUUCUCGGUGUAGAGGUGAAAUUCGUAGAUAUCGAGAGGAACACCGGUGGCGAAGGCGGCCAACUGGACAGAUACUGACGCUGAGACACGAAAGAGUGGGUAGCAAACAGG